ACCAUGUCGUCAAUAAUUCUAAAUCGAGAAAUUUUAUUUUGGCCAGGAGCUGAAGUUGGUUGUUUAGUAGUAGUAGUUUGAGUAGUGACCGAAGUAGUAGUCUGGUGCAAGAGUAGUUGGGGAAGAAUUAGGUGUGGUAAUUGGGGCAGCUGUGGUCUCUUGUGGAGCUGGGGAAGACGGUGGAGCUGGUGUAGUUGCAGAAGGUGUGGGUGGGACAGCUGUGGUCUCUGGUGGAGCUGAGGAAGAUAGUGGAGCUGGUGUAGUUGCAGAAGGUGUGGGUGGGGCAGCUGUGGUGUCUUGUGGAGCUGGGGAAUUCACUGAUGGAAUUUGGGUUGUAGCCACUAAGGUAGGGUUGACCACACUGCUAUUUUUAUCUGGAUGUUUAGGUGGCUGGUGAGGAUUUGGGAAUUUGGGGGGGUUAUUAGGUGAAGGUG
rnacentral:lncRNA from 1 species